rnacentral:misc_RNA from 1 species
UUUCCGUAGGUGAACCUGCGGAAGGAUCAUUAAUGAGAACUAAGGGUAGUAGUCUCGGCUACUACUCUGAACACUCCACCCUUUGAUUAUAUUACCUUUGUUGCUUUAGCAGGCCCGCUCUCGAGCCGCCGGCACCUGCUGGCUAGUGCCUGCUAAAGAACCUAAAACUCUUGUCAAUAAUAUUGUCUGAGUACUAUAUAAUAGUUAAAACUUUCAACAACGGAUCUCUUGGUUCUG